AACGCAUCUUGCGCUCCUUGGUAUUCCGAGGAGCAUGCCUGUUUGAGUGUCAUUUAACUUCUCAACCACAUCAGAUGAAAAUUUUUUUUGAUUGUGGCUUGGACUUGGGAGUUGUAUGCAGGCCUAAUAAGGUCGGCUCUCCUGAAAUGUAUUAGUGGUAUCUGAGGCUAUUGCUAUAGGUGUGAUAAUUUAUCUAUGCCUUUGGUAUUGCUGCAUGAACAGAUUACACUGCUUCUAACAAAGAAAAAAAACUUGACAAAUUUGACCUCAAAUCAGGUAGGACUACCCGCUGAACUUAA
rnacentral:misc_RNA from 2 species